CACCAUACAUAACUAGACAUGUGUCUCAAAUCGUAAAAACUCAUAUCGCUCUUAUUCACACCACGUAUACCGUUAUAUUAAAAUAACAACAUUGUUCACAAGAAAUAAUAUAAACGAGAAAUUUUCGUGUACCAUGAAUUUUAAACUGUCAAAAAAAAAAAAAAAAACACAAAACACAAAUUAGUUAUUUUUUUGAAAUCCCGAUUGUGGCCGCUCGGUGUUUCAACGUAAAAGUCUAAUUCGCCUGCAUUCCGCAUGUGCUCCUAGUACCUAACCCCCUUACCAAAGUCGUCUAAAUUUUCUCGGCUACACUGACACCGCCACUCGCCCGACCAUCAACGUCGCGAUAGAAAUAAC